GUUUACUCAGACUUGCAUUGUUUCAUCUCUGUCUUCUCUGCUGAGACUGUGGUUGUUCAUGGAAUGCUCAUGGUGUUGGGCAAUCCUGGAAUCGGGGACCUCAAGUCACAUUCCAUCCUCUAGUUUCCCUGAAAACAUUUAUCUAAACAUUGAAGUUACUGGAUAUACAAUCUGACAAAGUAACCAUAUAUAAACUUCUCAUGGAGAUCAGCUUGGACGUCGUGGCAGAAAUCUCAUUUAAGACAACUGGAAAUUACUUCACCUUGGCCCAAAUCACAGCACAACAGCCACCUGCUCCUCCUCCAGCCCUGCUAGCCUUCAGAAGGAAUCCACAGGUCCCUGAGCAUCCUUCUACCCCAGACUGGAAACCACAGCCACCAAGCAGUUUAACGUUCUGUGAGAUCUUGGAGGAUCUUCCCCGCCAAAGCCCACAUCAUGGCUUCGCUGAGCCGAGGUGAAGACUUUUUCUCUCCCCAGACUCUGCUACCUCUCAGUUGCCUUGUCUGUGCCUGCAGCUGCUACUUCAGGGAAGUAGGAAAGAACCUUCUUUCAAGAGACUGGAACAGCCGAAAACAACGUGA